rnacentral:lncRNA from 1 species
AUUAUCUCACUGUGAUGCUCCAAGCCCUUCAGGAUCUGUUUUUACAAGAAUGUGAAGAAAGAAGGCAAAGUCCAGAAAAUGUCAAAAAUUGAGAGAACUGGAAGGACACAAACAGAGCAGUGUAAGGUUGUUGAAUCCUGGUUGACUGCUGGACAGAGAAAGUGAUUGGAGGACAUGACUAAAAUCACCGGGCUGUGAAAGGGACAAGAACCAAGACCUCUGGACUAUUGUGUGGCACCAACA